UACAGAGGUUUCAAGCGUUGUUCGGAUUCAUUGGGCGUAAAGGGUGCGUAGGCGGCGCGGUAAGUCGGGUGUGAAAUCUCGGAGCUUAACUCCGACACUGCAUUCGAUACUGCCGUGCUUGAGGACUGGAGAGGAGACUGGAAUUUACGGUGUAGCGGUGAAAUGCGUAGAUAUCGUAAGGAAGACCAGUGGCGAAGGCGGGUCUCUAGACAGUUCCUGACGCUGAGGCACGAAGGCCAGGGGAGCAAACGGG
rnacentral:rRNA from 1 species